rnacentral:rRNA from 1 species
UACGUAGGGUGCAAGCGUUAAUCGGAAUUACUGGGCGUAAAGCGUACGCAGGCGGCUAUGCAAGACAGGUGUGAAAUCCCCGGGCUCAACCUGGGAACUGCAUUUGUGACUGCAUGGCUAGAGUUUGUCAGAGGGGGGUGGAAUUCCACGUGUAGCAGUGAAAUGCGUAGAGAUGUGGAGGAACACCGAUGGCGAAGGCAGCCCCCUGGGAUGUGACUGACGCUCAUGUACGAAAGCGUGGGGAGCAAACAGG